rnacentral:rRNA from 1 species
UCUUAAUCAUUGUAUCAAUGGUUCUUGAGAUAACGUAAGGGAUAAAAAUGAUAGUACCUUACUAUAAGUGUUGUCCAACUAUACUGGUGCCAGAAGACUCGGUAACGCCAGAAACGCAAACGUUAGUCGUCUUAAUCAGGCGUAAAGGGUAAGUAGGCUGCUUUGAAAGUUGUUAGUUAAAAAGCUCUUUAAAAAUUUUUAAAGUUAAAUAAUAAUGAAUUAAAGCUAGAAUCAAAUAGGGGAUAAGCCAAAUAAUAUUUAGUGUAAGGCUAAUAUCUUUAGAUACUAAAUGGAAUACUAAGGUGAAAACUUUUAUCUACUAAUGAUUGACGCUGAGGAACGAAGGUGAGAAUAGAAAACAGGAUUAGAGACCCAGGUAUCUCUCACUGUCAACGAUGAAUGGUAGUUGUUAGUUAAACUUAAUUAGUAACGAUGUUAACGCGUUAACCAUUCCGCCUUGCGAGUAC